rnacentral:rRNA from 1 species
UACGUAGGGGGCAAGCGUUGUCCGGAAUCAUUGGGCGCAAAGCGCGUGUAGGCGGCUGGCUAAGUCCGCUCUGAAAGCCCGGGGCUCAACCCCGGGAGGCGGGUGGAUACUGGUCAGCUCGAGUCCGGAAGAGGAGUGUGGAAUUCCUGGUGUAGCGGUGAAAUGCGCAGAUAUCAGGAGGAACACCAAUGGCGAAGGCAGCACUCUGGGACGGUACUGACGCUGAGACGCGAAAGCGUGGGGAGCAAACAGG